rnacentral:pre_miRNA from 1 species
UUUUUAGUAUAAGUAUAUCCCAUGCAAUAUUUGGGACAUACUUAUACUACAA